AUUAAGACUUUUAAUAAUUUGUUAUAUUCAACAUUGCUAUUUCUGAACUAUGAAUUUCAAAAUUUGUUGCCUUUCUUUCUGUGUGUGUGUGUGUAUGUUUCUUUUCCUGCUGUACACAGUAUUUGUGGGCUAUGGCAACCAAUCCCCUUGGGCUUUCUUUUGCCUUAAUUUGCAUAAACACAGGCAUCAUAUGAAUAUUCAGUGAGUGGCUUUGCAUUAAGUAAGUGCCCUUAAUCAGCUUUUCAGUUCAGUUUUAUUGGUUGCACCACAGUCAGUUAUUUCAUCCAGAAAAUCUGAGGGUCCUACAAAGCUAAGCAGGUACGCAUCUCUGGAAAUCACUUCUGUAAAGAUUUAUCUCAGAAGGACCAAGCAGAUGCCACAGCCAGAGGCUGUUCACAUAAAGACUGGUUACGCAUAACUUGUCCCAGUACUGGGAUAGUGCUGGCCAUCUGGAUGUUGUUGAACUGCAACUCCCAUUAGUCCUAGCUCUCAUAGACAAUGGUGAGCAAAGGAAGACCUUAUAUGUUACCGAAGGAUUUCUUCAUGUAUUCCCGGAGGUGUAUCUACAGCAUCAGCAACAUCAGCUGCAUUCUAUUGACAAAUAAAUUUCUGAAAGCUGAUCGGCAAAGGUAAGUGGCUACAGUAUAGCAGCUGAAGAGCUUUGCUUUUGGAAUUAAUCUGAACUGUUUGAAGAAUGCAUUGGAUCUUUGCUUUGAGAACAAUUUGCUGAAUAAUUUUCAAACUUGCUAUGAUAGUCAGGCAAAAAAGGUAAGACAGUCUCCAGUUAAAUGUUACCUCUGUGUGUGUGUACGCGCACGCGCAUGCAUGUGUGUGUAGUCAUUAACAGUAUUUGACACAUUCAGAUCUUUCCCAUGCUUUCAUAUUAUUUUCUGUUUCAGAGACUCCUCAUAUUUCAAGCUCCUGCUGUUUUCUCUGUUCUGUCAGCUAAUUAAACAUACAAACCUGUGAGAACGGCCCUUUAAAUCCUCCUUGCUAACAAAAGAGAUUUCUCAAUAGGGCUGAUGUCAAAUGCAUUUUGAGAUGUCUGGUGAAACCUCUUCAUGAAGCAAAAUGUUUAGCUACUCUUCUGCCUCUUGAGAUUCAUGAUUCUCCAGAAUUACAAGGAAUGUACUGACAGAGAAAAAUGCAAGCUUUGCAUGGCAGACAAUAUUACAGCUACUCCAAAACAGGGCUUCUAAAAAUGUGUUGUUUGCACAUUGGCCUCAACUUAUGAGUGUGAUAUUUUUUAAUGGGGCAACUAGCCUCUAAAGCCACCACUGGGAGCUUUGGUUCCCUUGCCUCCAUUCCCUCCCUCCAUUCAUGCCACCAUAUAUGGACAGAAAAUCUUCCAAACGUUGGAAAAGUUCCUUUUGUGGGCUAUAACUCCCAGAAUGCCUCAGCAAGUACAUUAUAUGUUAUUUUAAACAGAUAUCAGCAGAGAAUAGAAGAUGUGCUUAUCAAAUUUGCAGAUGACACCAUAUCAGGAGAUGUAGCUUAUA